UUGCGCGCAUUUUUAUGACAGGUAAACUCAGGUAAAAUACAGGUAAUAAUACUUAUUUAUUUAUAAUUAGUUCAAUUAUUUACAAGUAUAACUACUCGUUCCGUUAGUCUUGGUCCCCUACUCACCAAUGUUGAGGUGGAAGUGGGAUUUCGAGCAAAAUAAGUCCGUUUUAUUAUGCACAAGCACUAAAUCCUAGAAAUAUGUACAGAUAAAAAUGUUAAAAUACUAAAACAUAGCUAAUCUUAAAGGUACAAGUAUUGAUAAUUUCAUUGUAACAUGUAGGUACGUGUUGAAACU
rnacentral:lncRNA from 1 species